UGCCACAGAAAUAACCACAUUUCCUUGUCAAUUGCAUCAUUAUUAUAAGGAAUGCUCCAAUCCGUAACAUGGCCAUUUUAGGUCUGGUUAUUCACAGUUAACUGCUUUAUUCUCAUGCUUUUCUGAACAUUUUUUUGCAAGCAACCAUAAUCCUAAAGUGUUGUCUCUUCAAGAUUUGUGGGAAUGGAAAAGACUCUGCCAAAUGUAGGUUGCUUUUAAGAUCACAUAAUUGGACUGGAUAAGAAUUUCCAAAACUCUAAUGGGAAAACUGGACUCAUAAAACUGCUAACCCGGUUUGGAAGCGACGCGGUUUCAAGGCGUAAGUGUUCUGUCUCAUAUGAAGACCUCAGCCUUAAAAAUUCUGUUAAUGAGGUUGCUGUUACUUUUCUCAGCUUUCACCAAGUGUCUGACUUUUAUUUUGCUGUACUGUGUUGGCUUUGAAGGAUUUCUCAGUGGCUUAGCAGUAAUUCGAGUAAUGAAGACAGUAACACAGAAACUGGAUGGCUUCUACAGGGAGCCAGGCCUCUGAUAUAGACGAGAUUUUUGGAUUCUUCAGUGAUGGCGCACCCCCCACCAAAAAGCCCAGGAAGCUGCUUCCAAGCUUAAAAACUAAGAAGCCUCGGGAACUCGUGCUGGUGAUUGGCACAGGCAUCAGUGCUGCUGUUGCCCCUCAGGUUCCAGCAGGCCUUGGAUCUUCUAGAAGAUGAGGAGAGCAAAAAGUUUCAGAAGUGUCUCCAUGAAGACAAGAACCUUGUCCAUGUUGCCCAUGACCUUAUCCAGAAACUCUCUCCUCGCACCAGUAAUGUUCGAUCCACAUUUUUCAAAGACUGUUUGCAUGAAGUAUUUGAUGACUUGGAGUCAAAGAUGGAAGAUUCUGGAUAACAGCUACUUCAGUCAGAUCUCCACUUGAUGGAAAAUGGAGCCCUCAUAUUAACUACAAAUUUUGAUAAUCUCCUGGAACUGUACGCAGCAGACCAGGGGAAACAACUCGAAUCCCUUGACCGUACUGAUGAGAAAAAUCCCUUGACCGUACUGAUGAGCCCCUCUCUCGAGUGGGCUCAGGAGAAGAGGAAACUGAGUGUGCUGCACAUCCAUGGGGUCUACACCAACCCUAGUGGCAUUGUCCUUCAUCCAGCAGGAUAUCAGAAUGUGCUCAGGAACACUGAAGUUAUGAGAGAGAUUCAGAAACUCUAUGAAAACAAGUCAUUUCUUUUCUUGGGCUGCGGCUGGACUGUGGAUAACACCACUUUCCAGGCCCUUUUCCUGGAGGCCGUGAAGCAUAAAUCUGACUUAGAACAUUUCAUGCUGGUCCGGAGAGGAGAUGUAGAUGAGUUCAAGAAGCUUCGAGAAAACAUGCUAGACAAAGCGCCUGUGUUCUUUCGUAGCACCUGCAUCCCGGCGCGCAGCCCAGACAUGAUCCUGCCGCUUGGAAAGGACCGCUGGGUGAUAACCCUAGCCCCACGGAACGAGGCAGGUCUCCAGGCGUUGCCAAGAUGA